rnacentral:rRNA from 1 species
CCAAGGAGUCUACCGCAUGCGCGAGUCAUUGGGUUGCAAACCUAAAGGCGCAAUGAAAGUAAAGGUCGACGUUCGCUCGGCUGAUAUGGGAUGCGUGCGCUUGUCGCGCGCCGCACCAUAGCCCCGUCUCGACGGCUUGCCGUGGGGCGGAGGUAGAGCGUGUGCGGUAGGACCCGAAAGAUGGUGAACUAUACGUGAGCAGGGCGAAGCCGGAGGAAACUCCGGUGGAGGUCCGUAACGAUUCUGACGUGCAAAUCGAUCGUCUGACUGGCGUAUAGGGGCGAAAA